UGGUUAAGGCCUUUGGCUUUGGAAGCCAAAAAGAAGGCAAUGAAAAUGGGGCAGAGUUCAGAGCAGGGAAGCAGUCUCAGCAUGCAAUCCUGUGUGUGUCAAGGGUUGUCACAAAAGCAAGACUGAUUCAUGGUUCCAUUCAUUCCUCUGGCCAUUCACGCUUCACUCCUUUAGCUCUCCCCAGUGUCAUCAGCAGGUCAGGAUCUGGACAGGCAGGGCAGCCUUGAGGAAUAGUACACAGACCUGCAGGACAAGUGAAGGUUGCACAGUCUUCAAGAUGGGGCUGGGAGUAUGGAGAAAAGUGGGAUAGAAACCUCAACAACCCUGUUUCUGGCCCAAGUCACCGGAGAGCUGCUGCUGUCGGAUGCAGGGGCAAGUUCAAGACAGAGGAUUGGUUCAGAGUUUCAAUCACCCCAGCUGUGUUUCAUUCUAACACAGAAGGUAUCGUCGACAAUCUGUGGGUGAUUUAUGGUCCCCUUCUGGAUGUUUUAUCAUUUGGAUUCUCUCCUGCACCCCCAGAGAUGGAGAGAGACAAGGAGAGAGCCUGUCACAAGGAAAGCCCUUCUCUGCCUUUGCCCGUACUCUUGCCAACUUGAGUAGCACCUAAUGAAUGCCUUGCACCGUGGCUACAUCUGCUUCCUCCACACCCUUCCCAUGGCUGCCCUGGAGGCUUGUAGAAGCACAUGCUUUUCGGGGAGGAGUGGAGAGAGAAUUGUCAGAGGUCAUACUUGAAGGUACUCAAUGUUUCCUGAUACAUACAACACGGUGGCCACUGAGACACUACCAACUCCACAUGGACAGGAGCAGAUCAGUGGGCAGAGGCCCCCAGGACCUCGACAAGAAUGCUUCCUCUUAGCCCAUGGAACUGGGUGGCCAGGGGAUGCCUCUGCUGGCUGGCCUCAGCUCCCCAUGAGAGGUUAGAGUUCUGGAGACAAAUGUCAGAUCAGAAUCCCUGUAGAAGGGCCUCUUGACCUUGAGUGAGGAGUGGUUGAGAGUUUCCCGGAAACCAAGCCCCCAACUAAUGGUCCCACUCUCUUUUCUAAUAAAUACGUGGCCCUGGGCCCGGCUCCCUUCUC